CCGGYGGGCGGGGCGCUCUCCGGCCCGGGUCUCCGGAGGGCAGACUGGCCGCCGGGUUCGGGACCAAGGCGCGGCCGGUGCACCCAUGGCGGAGGGCGGCGGCCCCGACGGGCGGGCAGGGCCGGGGCCCGCAGGUCCUAAUCUGAAGGAGUGGCUGAGGGAGCAGUUUUGUGACCAUCCGCUGGAGCACUGUGAGGACACGAGGCUCCAUGAUGCAGCCUAUGUGGGUGACCUGCAGACCCUCAGGAACCUGUUGCAAGAGGAGAACUAUCGGAGCCGCAUCAACGAGAAGUCUGUCUGGUGCUGUGGCUGGCUCCCCUGCACGCCACUGCGAAUUGCUGCCACCGCAGGUCACGGGAACUGUGUGGACUUCCUUAUCCGAAAGGGAGCCGAGGUGGACCUGGUGGAUGUAAAGGGGCAGACUGCCCUAUAUGUGGCUGUGGUGAAUGGGCACCUGGAGAGUGCCCAGAUCCUUCUCGAAGCUGGUGCUGACCCCAACGGAAGCCGCCACCACCGCAGCACCCCUGUCUACCAUGCCUCUCGAGUGGGCAGAGCUGACAUACUGAAGGCCCUCAUCAGGUAUGGGGCUGACGUCGAUGUCAACCAUCACCUGACUCCUGACACCCAACCCCCCUUCUCYAGGCGGCUCACCUCCCUGGUGGUCUGCCCCCUGUACAUCAGUGCGGCCUACCACAACUUGCAGUGCUUCAGGCUGCUUCUGCAGGCCGGGGCCAACCCCGACUUCAAUUGCAAUGGUCCUGUCAACACCCAGGAGUUCUACAGGGGCUCCCCUGGGUGUGUCAUGGAUGCCGUCCUGCGUCAUGGCUGUGAGGCAGCAUUUGUGAGCCUGCUGGUGGAGUUUGGAGCCGACCUGAACCUGGUGAAGUGGGACUCGUUGGGCCCAGAGUCGAGGGGCAGAAGGAAGGUGGACCCUGAGGCCUUGCAGAUCUUUAAGGAGGCCAGAAGCAUUCCAAGGACCUUGCUGAGUUUGUGCCGGGUGGCCGUGAGAAGAGCACUUGGCAAACACCGACUUCAUCUGAUUCCCUCGCUGCCCCUGCCAGACCCCAUUAAAAAGUUCCUACUUUAUGAGUAGAAGAUACAGGUGWUCUGAGGGAGAGCCACCGCUGAUGCCUGCAUCUUGUGAACCAUCCUGUGCUGCCGACCGCUGGUGAAGAGACGGCCUGUUCUCAUGGACUGUAAUUCCAUCUCAGAUGGGGGAACACUGAGGCUUGGCAGUUGACAUGACUCACAUAUCACAGACCGUCUUACAAACCUUACCAACACUGGAAUCCCCUUUCGCUGCACCUGACACCAUCUAAUGAAAUCCAAACUGCUCAGGGAACAGGAACCAGCAGUCGCUGAAGAAGAGGACCUGGCGGUGGUGGUCCAGUCACUGGGUAAGAGGAAGGCCUCAGGGAAACUGAGUGGAGUUUGUGUCAACACACGCCCUGUGGAUGCCAUCAUUUCAGCUCCAAGUCACUGGGAAUCCCAGUAGCAGAUAAACCUGCUGCCCUUGCAGCCGGUGGCGCCAGCAUGUCGCCUUUGCGUGUAGGACCGUGAAGCAGAGCUGUGGCCACCAGCCUUGUUGAAGAGAGGCUCAGGGACCGGAGACCCUGGGGGUUGGAGGCAGCUUCUGGAAUUCUCAAGUACAGAGGAUCCCAUUGGGGGGGACCGUGGGCCCUUCCUGGCUGACGAGAACACUCUGUGAACGGAUGGCACAACAGAACACGGCUCCCCGCCUUUCCUGACGGAGGCGCUGAAGUCGAGAGGCCGAGGCUGUUCAGGGACCGGCCACCCGGAGAUAGCGCCCCACCAGCCUCACUGGGACUGGGCCAUGGCGGAAGGCAGCAAAGGGGAGGACCCCAUGCCACGCUGUGGGGGAGGUGGCCUCCUCAGGGUGCUGUGAGGGCGAGCCUGGGGAGUGCAGCGGCCCUGCACUGUGGCCUGGAAGCAUCUGAGGAAAGGAGGGGAGGGGGGACCCCGCACCCUGUGGCUACCCRACGCACCUGGGUUCCUUUGCUGUCUCUCUGCAUCUGUGGCGAUAGGACCUCAUUCCAGGACAGGCGCCGUCAGGUCCCUGGUCCCUGGACCUCUCCAGGAGCUCUCCCAGCUGUGGGCUUCCUGGGAUCUGUGCAGGAUCUCUUGGGAAGCCUCCUUUGCCCUCAGCGCGUGGCACCACAACCCAGGUGCUGCGCCCCUCCCCGACUCAGGCAACGGCAAGGCCCUACUGAGGUGGAUGGCGCCAGGCGUCCAUCCUCUGGAGGAGCGCAGCAUGUUUCUGGGAAUGGCCUGGUUUGUUUCUGUAUUCCUGUAAUAAGUAUAGUUGGGACUUCUCAUAUGACCAUUAAGUUUGAAGGAAAAAUACAUGACUUUCCCAAUUAAUGCAACUACUUCUAAAG